AUUUGACUUACAUAUAUAAGUGUAUGAAAAAAAGAAUCUGUAUAUCAGUAUAACGAAAACAAAAUAUUGUACCAAAAUGUUUAAUUGGAAAGUCGUUUUUGUCCUGUCUCUGCUAAGUAUACUAGAUCAUGUGGAUUCCCAAGAUUCUAGUUCUAUAUGCAACUUAGAGGUUUUUAAGGGAUUUUGGGUAGAAAAUACAGCUUUAAAUAAGCUUCGUUUUUAUAGAAAUAUAGGAACUCCUGAAAAUAUAAUUGAAAAAAAUGAAGAAUCAAUCUAACUCAAUGAACAUAACUAAAUUGGAGGACGGAUUUAAUAUUCAAUUUUCAGGUAUAAU
rnacentral:lncRNA from 1 species